rnacentral:rRNA from 1 species
UGCUCUCUUGAUUAGUGGCGCACGGGUGAGUAUACCAUAGAUAAUGUACCCCUUAGUUCGGGAUAGCCACUGGAAACGGUGAUUAAUACCGGAUACUCCUUCUCAUUAUAAGAUGAGUCGGGAAAGUUUUUUCGCUAAGGGAUCAGUCUAUGUCCUAUCAGCUAGUUGGUGAGGUAAUGGCUCACCAAGGCUAUGACGGGUAUCUGGUUUGAGAGGAUGAUCAGACACACUGGAACUGAGACACGGUCCAGACUCCUACGGGAGGCAGCAGUGAGGAAUAUUGCACAAUGGAGGAAACUCUGAUGCAGCAACGCCGCGUGGAGGAUGACGCAUUUCGGUGUGUAAACUCCUUUUAUUAGGGAAGAUAAUGACGGUACCUAAUGAAUAAGCACCGGCUAACUCCGUGCCAGCAGCCGCGGUAAUACGGAGGGUGCAAGCGUUACUCGGAAUCACUGGGCGUAAAGGGUGCGUAGGCUGGCUUUUAAGUCAGAUGUGAAAUCCAAUGGCUCAACCAUUGAACUGCAUUUGAAACUGGGAGCCUAGAGUUCAGAAGGGGCAGAUGGAAUUAGUGGUGUAGGGGUAAAAUCCGUAGAUAUCACUAGGAAUAUCAAAAGCGAAGGCGAUCUGCUGGGAUGAUACUGACGCUGAGGCACGAAAGC